GAAAAAUAUUUUUAAAAUCAGAGAAGCCUUCAUUUUCUCUCUCCCCUCUUCCUCUUCCUCUUCAGCUUCGUUUUCUCUCUCCUCUGUCGUCGCCGUCGCUUCUUCACCGCCGGAGAUUGAUCUCCCCCACCGCCGUUGAUCUCUACCCUCUUCCAGAUCGGACUAAUUCAGGUAGUUUGGAUCACUGGAGCCAGCCGCAGAAUCGAUGAUCUUAUCGUUUUUACUCCCAUUUGCUCUCGUUCCACUUCCCAAAUUUACCAGCAGUAAGGCUAAGAUGGGUGUUCAUGCUAACUCAUUCAUGGCACCUGGAUGAUUGGCUCCUUGAUCAUGGUCAUUAACAUUUACUUCAUUGCAAGCAAUUUUAUCAAGGUAGAGUACCCAGCUCCUGGCAAUAACAAGGCAUGAAGAUCAACAAAUUCCUGGAGAAGACAUAGUUAACAUGCAACUGCCUCAAAGAAGGACAAAUGCAGGCGAUAUUGAGUGUAUUCAACAAUCCGAGGAAGAAGCCUUUUACCAUUGAGUAGAUAAAUGAAGUUCGAGAAAAGUUGGCAAAGUUCAUUACCAUUUAUUGUCUUUGAUAUUUUCUUGUAGUGAAUCUUAGAUUAUGGAUGCUAGUUUUUCAUAGGAUUGUAAUGCAAUCAAUUUUUAUAUUUAUAAUUAUAUAAUUUAAUUUAA